AAGAACAUCCCUCCAUGGCCUCUGCAUCAGCUCCUGCUUCCUGACCUGCUUGAGUUCUAGUCCUGCAUCCUUUGGUGAUCAACAGCAAUGUGGAAGUCUUGUGAUGCACAGGUUUGAAGAGUCUGGAGAGAUGAGGUCACAGCUGGAAGUCACUUUUGAAGAUGGAACCUGGUCUGAGAAAUCACCUGCUUCUUCCUUAGCGACUUCUUUCCUGCAGGCAGCCCCCUUCUCCCUUCUUUAAGGUCAACAUGACUCCACUUCAGACAACCGGUCAUCUAAACUGGGCUCCUGCUGGUACUGACCAUCCUCCCCACUGACCAUUUGUUCCUAAGACAUCCUCAGAGUGCAGGUGCGCCAGCACCGGAUCAUUCUGUGAUAAUGGGGUGAUACCAUUGGCCAACUUUCUGGGCCAGAACUCAAUUAAAAUUCUCUGGAGUUUGGGGCUAUGACUCAGUUGGU
rnacentral:lncRNA from 1 species